GCAGGGAUGUCAAUUGAAAUUUUUGUAAGAAUAUUAGUGCAAUUUUUUCUUCAUAUUUUAGGGUUAGAUGCAUUAGAUUUCAGCUGAACGUAACGAGCCAAGUCGAGUUGUUUGUAAACUUAAAAUGAGCCGAACUCAAACUAAAAAAAAGGUUUGUUUCGAACUCGAGUCGAACCAAUUCUUAUCGAGUCGAGCUUAGACAGGUUCGGUUCGAUUCGACUCAUUUUCAGCCCUAGUUCAUGCCCUUGGAUCUGGAAUGUUGAUGCCUAAAUUAUUGAUUGAAUAUGUAAUUGACAGAAGCCGAUAUUUCAACAGAACCAAACUAACACAAG
rnacentral:lncRNA from 1 species